rnacentral:rRNA from 1 species
AGUCAACAUGCCCAGGGGACGUGGAUAACCUCGGGAAACUGAGGAUAAACCGCGAUAGGUCAUUACUUCUGGAAUGGGUAAUGACUUAAACCUAUAUGGCCCCUGGAUUGGACUGCGGCCGAUCAGGCUGUUGGUGAGGUGAUGGCCCACCAAACCUGUAACCGGUACGGGCUCUGAGAGGAGGAGCCCGGAGAUGGGCACUGAGACAAGGGCCCAGGCCCUAUGGGGCGCAGCAGGCGCGAAACCUCUGCAAUAGGCGAAAGCUUGACAGGGUUACUCUGAGUGAUUUCCGUUAAGGAGAUCUUUUGGCACCUCUAAAAAUGGUGCAGAAUAAGGGGUGGGCAAGUCUGGUGUCAGCCGCCGCGGUAAUACCAGCACCCCGAGUGGUCGGGACGUUUAUUGGGCCUAAAGCAUCCGUAGCCGGUUCUACAAGUCUUCCGUUAAAUCCACCUGCUUAACAGAUGGGCUGCGGAAGAUACUAUAGAGCUAGGAGGCGGGAGAGGCAAGCGGUACUCGAUGGGUAGGGGUAAAAUCCGUUGAUCCAUUGAAGACCACCAGUGGCGAAGGCGGCUUGCCAGAACGCGCUCGACGGUGAGGGAUGAAAGCUGGGGGAGCAAACCGGAUUAGAUACCCGGGUAGUCCCAGCUGUAAACGAUGCAGACUCGGUGAUGAGUUGGCUUAUUGCUAACUCAGUGCCGCAGGGAAGCCGUUAAGUUUGCCGCCUGGGGAGUACGGUCGCAAGACUGAAACUUAA